UACGUAGGCCGCAAGCGUUGUUCGGAGUUACUGGGCGUAAAGGGUGUGUAGGCGGUUGUCUAAGUUUGGUGUGAAAUCUCCCGGCUCAACUGGGAGGGUGCGCCGAAUACUGAAUGACUAGAGUGCGGGAGAGGAAAGUGGAAUUCCUGGUGUAGCGGUGAAAUGCGUAGAUAUCAGGAGGAACACCGGUGGUGUAGACGGCUUUCUGGACCGUAACUGACGCUGAGACACGAAAGCGUGGGUAGCAAACAGG
rnacentral:rRNA from 1 species